ACGGAGACCGUGAGAACUAAAGCAAGCGAGGCCAUGACUUUCCAUGGAUCAAGGUUUUUCCUCAGAAUCGGCGGUUUAUCCGGUGCUGCGGCUGUUUCAUUGGCCGCUUAUGGUGCACAUGCAUUUAAAGCUGAAGAUGAGAAAGGAGAACAAUUGAAAAGGACUUUUGAAACUGGGAACAAGAUGCAUAUGGUUCACUCCGUGGCUCUGAUGUGUUCCCCACUGUGUGGCAGACCUUACUUAGAACUCUGUUGACGGCUGGAAUCCUGCUGUUCUCGGGGAGCUGUUACAUCCACGCAAUGACAGGGAACACAAAGAUAAGAUACGUCACCCCCUACGGAGGAUUCACGCUCAUUUUCGCAUGGCUGAGCAUGCUGUUGUGAUUUUUAUAUUACCAGUAAUUGAACUUUAUUAUGGACAAAAAUGAUUUAAGAAGAAAUUUCUUUAAAAGGACCUAUAGAAACAUGAGUGAUGCUUUGAGGUGUUGUUUAUGCACUAAAUAAAGAGAUUUUUUUUU
rnacentral:misc_RNA from 1 species